rnacentral:rRNA from 1 species
AGAUUGAACGCUGGCGGCAUGCCUUACACAUGCAAGUCGAACGGCAGCACGGGAGCAAUCCUGGUGGCGAGUGGCGAACGGGUGAGUAAUACAUCGGAACGUGCCCAAUCGUGGGGGAUAACGCAGCGAAAGCUGUGCUAAUACCGCAUAAGAUCUACGGAUGAAAGCAGGGGAUCGCAAGACCUUGCGCGAAUGGAGCGGCCGAUGGCAGAGUUAGGUAGUUGGUGAGGUAAGGCUCACCAAGCCUUCGAUCUGUAGCUGGUCUGAGAGGACGACCAGCCACACUGGGACUGAGACACGGCCCAGACUCCGUACGGGAGGCAGCAGGUCGGGGUAAGUUUUUGGACAAGUGGGGACGAAA